rfam:Burkholderia xenovorans LB400 chromosome 3, complete sequence.
GAUGGAAAGCCCUUUGGAGUCGGCGCGCAAGCGCUGACUCCAAACAGCCGUGAGCUGCCUCAGUCGGAAACGCGGCGGUGGCGAACGUUACGAUUAAAAGGCGUGAUUAAACACGUCAUG